rnacentral:rRNA from 1 species
GGGCCCGCACAAGCGGUGGAGCAUGUGGUUUAAUUCGAUGCAACCCGAAAAACCUUACCUACUCUUGACAUCCUCGGAACCUUUCAGAAAUGAGAGGGUGCCUUCGGGAACCGAGAGACAGGUGCUGCA